UAAAACAAGCGAACAUUUCCCUUUUGUUCGGUUGUUUCUGAACCAAAUAUAAAGUAACACUGAAUAAAGCAGUGACUAAACGCGUUCAAACAGCUGUGGAGAGUAAAACGGACGCGUAUUGUCGUGUAAAGGAGGAAUACACCUGCUGUAAACGAUCCAGCCGCGGAGGAACAAGUGCAGCUCAAAGUCCUCAAACCUCUCGAGAGCAGAGUCCAUAGAAACCGGAGGAAAACAAUCUUCAAACCCCGACAACGCAGCGAAUGAAUCCCGUACAAACACUCACCCAGGCGGCGUCAAGGGCUCCGCUCCUCCGCGCUCGGGUGACCCUUUAAACCUCUUUAUCUGUUACACCCUGAUCGCCUGAGCUGGAAGAAUGUUUACGAGAGUGAUCUGAGCUGCUCUUCUGAGCGGCUCAGGGUGGAACGGAUCCGAUGGGACGCAGAAUUAUCCUCAGACAUGCCUGGAAUCCAGAUCAUGGAGAUCACAGCAACAAUCAGGCCUCCAGAGAGGAGUUUGCUGGUCUGAACCCGACUUCAACAACUCUAAACCCUGGUUUAAACCACAAAUCCAGGACAAAACUGAUCUCAUAUCAGCCGUGUUUUACACCUGUGACCAUUAUAA